GUUGUAUGGUUAAGUGACUAAGCGUACACGGUGGAUGCCUUGGCAGUUGGAGGCGAUGAAGGACGUACUAACUUGCGAUAAGCCUAGUCAAGCCAGUAAGAGGCGCUUGAGACUAGGAUUUCCGAAUGGGGAAACCCACCUGCUUGCAGGUAUCGUUAACUGAAUACAUAGGUUAACGAGGCGAACGCGGAGAACUGAAACAUCUAAGUACCCGUAGGAAAAGAAAUCAACCGAGAUUCCGAAAGUAGCGGCGAGCGAAAUCGGACCAGCCCUUAAGCUUUAGUGUAGUUAGUGGAACAUGUUGGAAAGCAUGACGAAACAGGGUGAUAGUCCCGUACACAAAAACUUAUCUAAAGUGAAAUCGAGUAGGUCGGAGCACGUGAAACUUUGACUGAAUAUGGGGGGACCAUCCUCCAAGGCUAAAUACUCCCAACUGACCGAUAGUGAACCAGUACCGUGAGGGAAAGGCGAAAAGAACCCCUGUGAGGGGAGUGAAAUAGAACCUGAAACCGUGUACGUACAAGCAGUAGGAGCCUACUUGUUGGGUGACUGCGUACCUUUUGUAUAAUGGGUCAGCGACUUAUAUUCUGUAGCGAGGUUAACCAUUUAGGGGAGCCGUAGCGAAAGCGAGUCUUAACUGGGCGCUUAAGUUGCAGGGUAUAGACCCGAAACCCGGUGAUCUAGCCAUGGGCAGGUUGAAGGUUGAGUAACAUCAACUGGAGGACCGAACCCACUAACGUUGAAAAGUUAGGGGAUGACCUGUGGCUAGGAGUGAAAGGCUAAUCAAACCGGGAGAUAGCUGGUUCUCCCCGAAAUCUAUUUAGGUAGAGCCUCGGACGAAUACUUACGGGGGUAGAGCACUGUUAAGGCUAGGGGGUCAUCCCGACUUACCAACCCUUUGCAAACUCCGAAUACCGUAAAGUAAUAUCCGGGAGACACACGGCGGGUGCUAACGUCCGUCGUGGAGAGGGAAACAACCCAGACCGUCAGCUAAGGUCCCAAAGUGUAUGUUAAGUGGGAAACGAUGUGGGAAGGCUAAAACAGCUAGGAGGUUGGCUUAGAAGCAGCCACCCUUUAAAGAAAGCGUAAUAGCUCACUAGUCGAGUCGGCCUGCGCGGAAGAUGUAACGGGGCUAAACAUACCACCGAAGCUACGGCUGCAGACUUUGUCUGCGGGGUAGGGGAGCGUUCUGUAAGUGGCUGAAGGUGUGCCGGGAGGCAUGCUGGACAUAUCAGAAGUGCGAAUGCUGACAUGAGUAACGACAAGAGGAGUGAAAAACUCCUCCGCCGGAAGACCAAGGGUUCCUAUCCCAUGUUAAUCAGGGUAGGGUGAGUCGACCCCUAAGGCGAGGCUGAAGAGCGUAGUCGAUGGGAAACGGGUUAAUAUUCCCGUACUCGGUAUGAAUGCGAUGGGGGGACGGAGCAGGCUAGGCAAGCAUGGCGUUGGUUGUCCAUGUGAAAGGCUGUAGGCUGGUGACUUAGGAAAAUCCGGGUUGCUAAGGCUGAGAGUCGAGACGAGCCACUAAGGUGGUGAAGUUGUUGAUGCCCUACUUCCAGGAAAAGCCUCUAAGCUUCAGUUCAUACUGAAUCGUACCCUAAACCGACACAGGUGGUCAGGUAGAGAAUACUAAGGCGCUUGAGAGAACUCGGGUGAAGGAACUAGGCAAAAUUGUACCGUAACUUCGGGAGAAGGUACGCUCUUGUUUGUGAAAGACUUGCUCUGUAAGCAAACGAGAGCCGCAGUGACCAGGUGGCUGGGACUGUUUAUUAAAAACACAGCACUGUGCAAAAUCGUAAGAUGACGUAUACGGUGUGACACCUGCCCGGUGCCGGAAGGUUAAUUGAUGGGGUUAGCUUAGGCGAAGCUCUUGAUCGAAGCCCCGGUAAACGGCGGCCGUAACUAUAACGGUCCUAAGGUAGCGAAAUUCCUUGUCGGGUAAGUUCCGACCUGCACGAAUGGUGUAACCAUGGCCACGCUGUCUCCACCCGAGACUCAGUGAAAUUGAAAUCGCAGUGAAGAUGCUGUGUACCCGCGGCUAGACGGAAAGACCCCGUGAACCUUUACUACAGCUUGGCACUGAACAUUGACCCUACAUGUGUAGGAUAGGUGGGAGGCUUUGAAGCAGAGACGCUAGUUUCUGUGGAGCCGACCUUGAAAUACCACCCUUGUAGUGUUGAUGUUCUAACUUAGGCCCCUGAAUCGGGGUUGAGGACAGUGCCUGGUGGGUAGUUUGACUGGGGCGGUCUCCUCCCAAAGAGUAACGGAGGAGCACGAAGGUUUGCUAAGUACGGUCGGACAUCGUACGGUUAGUGUAAUGGUAGAAGCAAGCUUAACUGCGAGACAGACACGUCGAGCAGGUACGAAAGUAGGUCAUAGUGAUCCGGUGGUUCUGAAUGGAAGGGCCAUCGCUCAACGGAUAAAAGGUACUCCGGGGAUAACAGGCUGAUACCGCCCAAGAGUUCAUAUCGACGGCGGUGUUUGGCACCUCGAUGUCGGCUCAUCACAUCCUGGGGCUGAAGUCGGUCCCAAGGGUAUGGCUGUUCGCCAUUUAAAGUGGUACGCGAGCUGGGUUUAGAACGUCGUGAGACAGUUCGGUCCCUAUCUGCCGUGGGCGUUUGAGAAUUGAGAGGGGCUGCUCCUAGUACGAGAGGACCGGAGUGGACGAACCGCUGGUGUUCGGGUUGUGAUGCCAAUUGCAUUGCCCGGUAGCUACGUUCGGAACUGAUAACCGCUGAAAGCAUCUAAGCGGGAAGCAGGCCUCGAGAUGAGUUCUCACUUUGACUUAGAGUCAACUGAAGGGCCGUUGAAGACUACAACGUUGAUAGGCGAGAUGUGGAAGUGCUGUGAGGCAUUAAGCUAACUCGUACUAAUUACCCGUGAGGCUUAACCAUACAACGCCAAAGUGGUUU
rnacentral:rRNA from 1 species